rnacentral:rRNA from 1 species
GAUGAACGCUGGCGGCGUGCCUAAUACAUGCAAGUCGAGCGAACAGACGAGGAGCUUGCUCCUUGGACGUUAGCGGCGGACGGGUGAGUAACACGUGGAUAACCUACCUAUAAUACGGGGAUAACUUCGGGAAACCGGAUCUAAUACCGGAGAAUAUAUUGAACCGCAGUGGUCGAUAGUGAAAUACGGCUUUGCGGUCACGUAUAGCGGGAUCUGCGCCGUAUUAGCUAGUUGGUAAGGUAACGGCUUACCAAGGCAACGAUGCGUAGCCGACCUGAGAGGGUGAUCGCCCACACUGGAACUGAGACACGGUCAAGACUCCUACGGGAGGCAGCAGUAGGGAAUCUUCCGCAAUGGGCGAAAGCCUGACGGAGCAACGCCGCGUGAGUGAUGAAGGUCUUCGGAUCGUAAAACCCUGUUAUUAGGGAAGAACAAAUGUGUAAGUAACUGUGCACGUCUUGACGGUACCUAAUAAGAAAGCCCCGGCUAACUACGUG